UGGCACCCAAUAUGCCCCAUUUCGCUAACCUCCACUGAGCCCCAAGCUCUGAAGAUCAAAGUCAAAGCACGAAAUGAACGUGAGAGAGCUGGAAAGCUAACUACAAAGCCUCUAAAAGUUACGUAACAUGAAGAAACACACUCGAUUCUGCCUCUCCCAUUGAAUAGAGCAAUAAAACAUGGACACAACACACAAAGCAGCUAUUUGAGGACUCUGAGAAGGAAAUGGCAGCACACAGAUUGGGGGAGAAGACCAGAAUUUGAAAUGCUGCUGAACCACAGAAAGCUCUUAUCAAAAGAAAGCGGAGUCACAAGUCCAACAGAUAAGAGAUGAAAAUGGGAUUUGAAAGCCUAGAACCCGUCUGAUGCAUUCCACAUCUCCUCUGAACCAAGUUAAAGAGUUGCAAUUAUUGACUCUGUCAACCAGAGAGCUGGGCUGGAGUUGAGUAACCUAAUGUAGCUUGUCCCAAACCAUAUGCCACAAACCACCACAGCCUCAAGACAUUCACAGGUGUUGUCUGGAAAAACAACAAGAGUGAGGAUCCCAUGGUCAAAUACACCAUCCCUGCUCUCCCACUCUUGGCUAGAGGCUCUAAGAUGCCCUGCAGUUUUAAAAAAUGUUAAAUCUAAUACUUCCUAAAGCUAUUUGACCAAGUAACCUUUUUUAAAUUUCAAUGGGUUUUUGUGGAACAGGUGGUAUUUGGUUACAUUACUGUUAUUUAGGGGUGAUUUCUGAGAUUCUGGUGAACCUAUCACCCGAGCAGUAUACACUGUACAGAAUGUGUGGUCUUUUAUCCUUCAUCCCCCUCCCGCCCUUUCCUUAAGUCCCCAAAGUCCAUUAUAUCAUUCUUAAUCCUUUG
rnacentral:lncRNA from 1 species